rnacentral:rRNA from 1 species
AUUGAACGCUGGCGGCAUGCCUUACACAUGCAAGUCGAACGGCAGCACGGGAGCUUGCUCCUGGUGGCGAGUGGCGAACGGGUGAGUAAUACAUCGGAACGUACCCAGGAGUGGGGGAUAACGUAGCGAAAGUUACGCUAAUACCGCAUAUUCUGUGAGCAGGAAAGCGGGGGAUCGCAAGACCUCGCGCUCUUGGAGCGGCCGAUGUCGGAUUAGCUAGUUGGUGAGGUAAAAGCUCACCAAGGCGACGAUCCGUAGCAGGUCUGAAAGGAUGAUCUGCCACACUGGGACUGAGACACGGCCCAGACUCCUACGGGAGGCAGCAGUGGGGAAUUUUGGACAAUGGGGGCAACCCUGAUCCAGCCAUGCCGCGUGAGUGAGGAAGGCCUUCGGGUUGUAAAGCUCUUUCGGCGGGGAAGAAAUGGCAACGGCUAAUAUCCGUUGUUGAUGACGGUACCCGCAUAAGAAGCACCGGCUAACUACGUGCCAGCCGCCGCGGUAAAAC